rnacentral:rRNA from 1 species
AGAGUUUGAUCAUGGCUCAGAUUGAACGCUGGCGGCAUGCUUUACACAUGCAAGUCGAACGGUAACGCGGGGGCAACCCUGGCGACGAGUGGCGAACGGGUGAGUAAUACAUCGGAACAUAUCCAGUAGCGGGGGAUAACCUAUCGAAAGAUGGACUAAUACCGCAUACGAUCUACGGAUGAAAGCAGGGGACCGCAAGGCCUUGCACUAUUGGAGUGGCCGAUGUCGGAUUAGCUAGUUGGUGAGGUAAAGGCUUACCAAGGCGACGAUCCGUAGCUGGUCUGAGAGGACGAUCAGCCACACUGGAACUGAGACACGGUCCAGACUCCUACGGGAGGCAGCAGUGGGGAAUUUUGGACAAUGGGCGCAAGCCUGAUCCAGCCAUGCCGCGUGAGUGAAGAAGGCCUUCGGGUUGUAAAGCUCUUUCGGUGAAGACGAAACGGUUCGUGCUAUAACGCGGACUAAUGACGGUACUCACAGAAGAAGCACCGGCUAACUACGUGCCAGCAGCCGCGGUAAUACGUAGGGUGCAGGCGUUAAUCGGAAUUACUGGGCGUAAAGCGUGCGCAGGCGGUUUGCUAAGACAGGUGUGAAAUCCCCGGGCUUAACCUGGGAAUUGCGCUUGUAACUGGCAAGCUAGAGUGUAGCAGAGGGGGGUGGAAUUCCACGUGUAGCAGUGAAAUGCGUAGAUAUGUGGAGGAACACCGAUGGCGAAGGCAGCCCCCUGGGUUAACACUGACGCUCAUGCACGAAAGCGUGGGGAGCAAACAGGAUUAGAUACCCUGGUAGUCCACGCCCUAAACUAUGUCAACUAGUUGUCGGGGAAGAAAUUCCUUGGUAACGAAGCUAACGCGUGAAGUUGACCGCCUGGGGAGUACGGCCGCAAGGUUAAAACUCAAAGGAAUUGACGGGGACCCGCACAAGCGGUGGAUUAUGUGGAUUAAUUCGAUGCAACGCGAAAAACCUUACCUACCCUUGACAUGCUAGGAAGCCCGCAGAGAUGUGGGUGUGCCCGAAAGGGAACCUAGACACAGGUGCUGCAUGGCUGUCGUCAGCUCGUGUCGUGAGAUGUUGGGUUAAGUCCCGCAACGAGCGCAACCCUUGCCAUUAGUUGCUACAUUCAGUUGGGCACUCUAAUGGGACCGCCGGUGACAAACCGGAGGAAGGUGGGGAUGACGUCAAGUCCUCAUGGCCCUUAUGGGUAGGGCUUCACACGUAAUACAAUGGUCGGUACAGAGGGCUGCCAACCCGCAAGGGGGAGCUAAUCCCAGAAAGCCGAUCGUAGUCCGGAUUGUAGUCUGCAACUCGACUGCAUGAAGCCGGAAUCGCUAGUAAUCGCGGAUCAGCAUGUCGCGGUGAAUACGUUCCCGGGUCUUGUACACACCGCCCGUCACACCAUGGGAGUGGGUUCCACCAGAAGUAGUUAGCCUAACCGCAAGGAGGGCGAUUACCACGGUGAGAUUCAUGACUGGGGUGAAGUCGUAACAAGGUA